CCUGCUGACCAAUGGCGAGACCACCCAGAAGGAGGGGACCCAGGUGGGGCUGGGGCUUCCUGGUGGGAGGGGCUUGAGCAGGGGGCUAACCCUGCCUUCCUCAGGCUUGCAGCAGUAACCCCGUCCCACUCUGACCCACACUGUAGGGAGUGGGGGGAACAGCUCUAGUUCAUUCCCCCUGCCUGGGCCACUCUGUUUUAUUCCCAAGGCAGGCAUCUGUGUUUCCCUGGCAACCACUGAUGGAAUCACUGGUUGCUGGGUUGCUGGGGAAACGUGUUCAGGCUUGGUAGGUCAGCCCUAGUCCUGCUGGGUGGGGCCCAGUAACAUGGGGCUUUUCUCCUGCAGGCCAGUGAGGGGUACUUCAGCCAAUCACAGGAGGAGGAGUUUGCCCAAUCGGAAGAGCUGUGUGCAAAGGCCCCGCCUCCUGUGUUCUACAACAAGCCUCCAGAAAUCGACAUCACUUGCUGGGAUGCAGACCCAGUACCAGAAGAGGAGGAGGGCUUCGAGGGUGGCGACUAGCGGUGGUGCCCGUCCUCAGGCUGCCCUCGCCAAGGCCUCACACCUGCGCUGGCCUCUGGCCAGACGGCCCGCAGUGCCUGCACUUGCAGCAGCUCCGCCUGGCACCCUCUGGACUCCGGCCCUGGCCGGGGACUUGGCCGCUUCCCUACCCACAGGGCCCGACUUUUACAGCUUUUCUUUUUUUUAAAAGUUGAUAGGAGACUUGUACAGUUGACCGGUUUUCCUCCCGUUGGUAGUUGAGACGCUGUUGCAAAUUCCAUCCCCUUCCUGCCCGGUCCAGAUUGUAGAUCUUAGUCCUCCCUGGUCACUCAGCUGGCCGGGGUGGAGGCCUCACCCUGCUUUGGGGCCUGUGUGGGGGGAUGCUCUGGUGGGAAAAUGUUCCCCCCACCUCUUUUCCUAGUUUUCUGUUUCUUGGAAAAAUAUCACUUUGUAUUCUCUGUCCAGGGCUUCAGAUAUUUUGCACGAAUUUUAAAACAUGGCAAUAAACGGCUCGUGGGCUCUGGUUCCCUGGGACCCCCCUUCCCCACCCUUCUCUUGACCUCCCCACCUGGCCUGAAGGAAGUAGCAGGCCCAGCUGGGGCCCCUCAGCUUCCUGGCCCUUUCCUGCCCCCUCCUGCUGGGCAGGUCCCAAGCUGGAGGCCCUAGGCGUGAUUCAGGUCAGGGCUAUGGGUGGUCCCUCUUCACCUCCUCCCUCUUUGCUUGGGUUCCUUUUUCACGUUCAGUAACUGUUUUUUGGAAAGCACAAACUUCUGUAACAGGUCGUGCUCAUGUCUGUUAAUAAAGAAAUCCAGAUC
rnacentral:lncRNA from 1 species